rnacentral:lncRNA from 1 species
UUCCUUCCUCCCACCCCUGUGGUAUAUGACACUUGUAACCUCCAGUCUCCACUCUCUACUGACAGCCCUGGACAGAUAAUUAGAGUAAAAGGCUGAGCUGCAAUAAAAAGCAUUUUAAACACUAAAAAAAAAAAAAAAAAAAAACAAAAAAAAAAAAAAAAACAAAAAAAAAAAAAAAAACAAAAAAAAAAAAAAAAACAAAAAAAAAAAAAAAAACAAAAAAAAAAAAAAAAACAAAAAAAAAAAAAAAAACAAAAAAAAAAAAAAAAACAAAAAAAAAAAAAAAAACAAAAAAAAAAAAAAAAACAAAAAAAAAAAAAAAAACAAAAAAAAAAAAAAAAACAAAAAAAAAAAAAAAAACAAAAAAAAAAAAAAAAACAAAAAAAAAAAAAAAAACAAAAAAAAAAAAAAAAACAAAAAAAAAAAAAAAAACAAAAAAAAAAAAAAAAACAAAAAAAAAAAAAAAAACAAAAAAAAAAAAAAAAACAAAAAAAAAAAAAAAAACAAAAAAAAAAAAAAAAACAAAAAAAAAAAAAAAAACAAAAAAAAAAAAAAAAACAAAAAAAAAAAAAAAAACAAAAAAAAAAAAAAAAACAAAAAAAAAAAAAAAAACAAAAAAAAAAAAAAAAACAAAAAAAAAAAAAAAAACAAAAAAAAAAAAAAAAACAAAAAAAAAAAAAAAAACAAAAAAAAAAAAAAAAACAAAAAAAAAAAAAAAAACAAAAAAAAAAAAAAAAACAAAAAAAAAAAAAAAAACAAAAAAAAAAAAAAAAACAAAAAAAAAAAAAAAAACAAAAAAAAAAAAAAAAACAAAAAAAAAAAAAAAAACAAAAAAAAAAAAAAAAACAAAAAAAAAAAAAAAAACAAAAAAAAAAAAAAAAACAAAAAAAAAAAAAAAAACAAAAAAAAAAAAAAAAACAAAAAAAAAAAAAAAAAGCAAAAGCAAAAGAAAAAAGCAUCCAAAGCUUCUGCGAGCGAUAUAUCACCACCCAUCUGCAAUAUCAGCGUGUCAGCGUCUGUCUGCCACAAACAUUAGUCCAUAUAAACAAAGGAAUAAAUCAAUGGACCUGUACACCCAGGCAUAUUAUCUCAGAGAACACUGCAGGGCU